rnacentral:rRNA from 1 species
GCGGGAAGAGCUCAAAUUUGAAAUCUGGUGGCCUCAGGUCAUCCGAGUUGUAAUCUAUAGAAGUGUUUUCCGUGCUGGCUCAUGUACAAGUCCCUUGGAACAGGGCGUCAUAGAGGGUGAGAAUCCCGUCCUUGACAUGAACUACCAGUGCUCUGUGAUACAUUUUCAACGAGUCGAGUUGUUUGGGAAUGCAGCUCAAAAUGGGUGGUAAAUUCCAUCUAAAGCUAAAUAUUGGCGAGAGACCGAUAGCGAACAAGUACCGUGAGGGAAAGAUGAAAAGCACUUUGGAAAGAGAGUUAAACAGUAUGUGAAAUUGUUAAAAGGGAAACGAUUGAAGUCAGUCGUGCUCUUUGGAUUCAGCCGGUUCUGCCGGUGUACUUCCUUUGAGUGGGGUCAACAUCAGUUUUGAUCGCUGGAUAAAGGCUGGAGGAACGUAGCACCCUCGGGUGAACUUAUAGCCUCCUGUCACAUACAGUGGUUGGGACUGAGGAACGCAGCACGCCUUUAUGGCCGGGAUUCGUCCACGUACGUGCUUAGGAUGUUGACAUAAUGGCUUUAAACGACCCGUCU